CGCGGCAAGACGGAAAGACCCCGUGAACCUUUACUAUAGCUUGACACUGAACAUUGAGCCUUGAUGUGUAGGAUAGGUGGGAGGCUUUGAAGCGUGGACGCCAGUCUGCGUGGAGCCGACCUUGAAAUACCACCCUUUAAUGUUUGAUGUUCUAACGUGGACCCGUAAUCCGGGUUGCGGACAGUGUCUGGUGGGUAGUUUGACUGGGGCGGUCUCCUCCUAAAGAGUAACGGAGGAGCACGAAGGUUGGCUAAUCCUGGUCGGACAUCAGGAGGUUAGUGCAAUGGCAUAAGCCAGCUUGACUGCGAGCGUGACGGCGCGAGCAGGUGCGAAAGCAGGUCAUAGUGAUCCGGUGGUUCUGAAUGGAAGGGCCAUCGCUCAACGGAUAAAAGGUACUCCGGGGAUAACAGGCUGAUACCGCCCAAGAGUUCAUAUCGACGGCGGUGUUUGGCACCUCGAUGUCGGCUCAUCACAUCCUGGGGCUGAAGUAGGUCCCAAGGGUAUGGCUGUUCGCCAUUUAAAGUGGUACGCGAGCUGGGUUUAGAACGUCGUGAGACAGUUCGGUCCCUAUCUGCCGUGGGCGCUGGAGAACUGAGGGGGGCUGCUCCUAGUACGAGAGGACCGGAGUGGACGCAUCACUGGUGUUCGGGUUGUCAUGCCAAUGGCACUGCCCGGUAGCUAAAUGCGGAAGAGAUAAGUGCUGAAAGCAUCUAAGCACGAAACUUGCCCCGA
rnacentral:rRNA from 2 species